UAUCUCAGCGCCCAGCACACCGCACGCCGUAUGCGGUGUAUGCCCAGGCAGCCCCCUCUCCCCCUCCUAUCCCCUGCCAGCGCCGGAGCCCCACUUCUCGUGGUGACAAGGGCCGAGAGUGCCUACGACGUGGCAGGGGGGGGGUCUGUGCGAUGCAUGGCCACACUGAUGUGUCGGCGGUGGGGCCCUGGGUGGCGUUGCGUCGGGGUGGCCCGCGACAGCGAACACGCUUGUGCCGUCCAUGUGGUAGGCAGGGUGUCGGCGUGGCUGGAACGCAUUGCACCCGGCCCCGACUGCCGUUGCUGGUGCGGGGGGAGGGGGGGGCCUGUGUGCCACCCCUACGGGAUGCACAGCAGGUGGGCGCCGGCGUGACGGGUGCGGGUGUGCGGCGACCUGCAGAGCGCGGCGGUGGUGUGGAGUAUGAGGCAGGGGCCGUGCUCGGAUGGCUGAGCCGGCGCGUUGCUGUAGGGCGUGUGUGUGCAGGGCUGCUUGGCACCACGCGAUGUGCCCGUGACAGGGCCCGGCACAGCGUGGAGUGCAGCUAAGCUCCGAUGCACCGUGACAGAGAAUGAACCCGCAGGAAUAAAAUGUUCUUCCGUUUUGUAUGUGUAUCCGGGCUGUUUUUUGAUCGCUGCGUCGGUUGCAUCCUCACCCAUUCAUGUGUUUUCUUCUCCUCUUGUUCUUUUUUCGUCGUUCUCACCGUCGUGGCUUGCACGUCUCCGUCACGCCGGACUCCAAAGACGAUGCUGAUUGCUGUCACCACUCCUGCUUUGUUCUGUGUUUUAUGUGUUUCUCUCUCUCUGUUCGCCUUGUCGAUGUGAGUAGAUCGGCCGAUUUGUGUGGUAGUGCUGGUAGUGUGGAUACGCGCUCUUCUCUUUGUGGUACUUCACUAAUGUAUUAUGGUGAACAGCUUCCGCUUGUGAAUCUGCCUCGUUAGACGAGCACGUCGCUAAACAAAAUCAGAGCUGUGCUGCCUCUAGUGGGUGAGGAACCACGAUACACUGCCUCCUGCCCCUCUACUGCACUGCCUUUCAAAGGGCACCCACACACGCGUAGUGUCGCGUCUACGAGUUGUUUUUCCAUGCGCGCGCAAAGGUAAGGGUUAGAGACGGUAGUGGGUGUGUGGGAAAAUUCAGCCGCCCUUAUCGCCGCUGCGUAUCUUGCUAAGCGUUGCGGCCGUCAGACUGCGAUGGAUGUCUGCUCUUUUCCCUUUCACAAUGCUCCUCAUCGUUCUUGAUCUUCUGUGCGCCCCUCUUCGCUCAACGAAG
rnacentral:misc_RNA from 1 species